GGUUCGAUUCCGGAGAGGGAGCCUGAGAAACGGCUACCACAUCUAAGGAAGGCAGCAGGCGCGCAAAUUACCCAAUCCCGGCUCGGGGAGGUAGUGACAAAAAAUAACAAUGCGGGACUCUUAUGAGGCUUCGUAAUUGGAAUGAGUACAUUCUAAAUCCUUUAACGAGGAACUAUUGGAGGGCAAGUCUGGUGCCAGCAGCCGCGGUAAUUCCAGCUCCAAUAGCGUAUAUUAAAGUUGUUGCGUCUAAAAAGCUCGUAGUUUGAAAACUUGCCUUGGCUUACAACAGACGUCUAAGGGCGUCACCGUUUGUCGAGAGCAAAUAUGGGUGACUGUUCUUGCCUUCUUCACUGAUUGGCUCGUAAAAGUCAUCGAAGAUCACUUUGAUUAAAUUAGGGUGCUCAAAGCAAGUGUGCUACUUGAAUAUGAAUGCAUGGAAUGAUGGAAUAUGUUGUUGUUCUAUUUGUUGGUUUUUUGAAUGACGAAAUGAUUGAAAGGAACUGUUGGGGGCAUUCGUAUUGUUGUGAGAGAGGUGAAAUUCUUAGACCAUAGCAAGACGAACUACUGCGAAAGCAUUUGCCAAGAAUGUUUUCAUUGAUCAAGAACGAAAGUUAGAUGUUCGAAGGCGAUCAGAUACCGCCCUAGUUCUAACCAUAAACUAUGCCGACUAGCAAUUUGCUUUGUAUUUUUAUGACUAAGUGAGAGGCCACGGGAAACCAAAGUAGGGUUAUGGGGGAAGUAUGGUUGCAAAGCUGAAACUUAAAGGAAUUGACGGAAGGGCACCACCAGGAGUGGAGCCUGCGGCUUAAUUUGACCCAACACGGGAAAACUUACCUGGUCCUGACACUAGAAGGAUUGACAGAUUGAUAGCUCUUUCUUGAUUUGGUGGAUGGUGGUGCAUGGCCGUUCUUAGUUGGUGGAGUGAUUUGUCUGGUUAAUUCCGAUAACGAACGAGACUCUAGCCUAUUAAAUAAUAUGCGGAAUCAAUUUCUCCCGCGUUAUUUCUUAAUGGGAUCAAGCGUGUUUAACGCUUUGAAACAGAGCAAUAACAGGUCUGUGAUGCCCUUAGAUGUUCGGGGCUGCACGCGCGCUACAUUGAAGAACAAAGUGAGCCCUCUGGCUUUUAACAAAGCUAGAAAUCUUUUAAUGUUCUUCUUAAUGGGGAUAGGGGAUUGCAAUUGUGCCCCUUGAACGAGGAAUUCCAGUAAGUGCUAGU
rnacentral:rRNA from 1 species